GUGCUGGUUGGGCAGUGAGAAGAUGAAAAGGUCCGUACACUUGUCGGCGUGCACAGCGGGAGCUCCUCAGCGACUGUUAGUGGGUCUGCAUGUGACUGCCUUCGCCUCCGCUGGGUCCCAGCAGCGGGGGGGGGGGAGGCUGCGAGUGGCCCCGCCCACCUCAGGCCGGUUCCAGCCAAUCAGGUGCUAAUGUGCGGGAACAGGAGAGGGCUGCGCUGACAGAUGGCGGGCUGACCUGGAAAACCUGCCCCCUUUUCAGGGUUCAGCAGUCGACAGAUGACAGAUUGAUCAGCAACGUCUGCAGCUGCAUCCAGACAUCCAGCCGACCUAUGACAGCGACGUUCCUCCACUCACAUGAUGUUUUGAUUGUCACCCUGUCGAUCAUGGUGCCAAGAGACCCGUCAGUCAGAUGUUGAACUCCAACCUGUCAGCAGUCUGUGUGACGUAUAAAGGGAGAGGAACCUCCGUCACGUCAGCUCCGUGACAUCGCAGCGACCGCGACACCGCAGCCAACCGGCGAUGACGGAUGCCUUUUUGUCUUCUGCAGUCAGGCCGGAUCGACUGGCCUGCGGACGACUGUAAUUGCACCGACAGGUGACACAUAUGUGGAAACCAGAAGAUGAUGGGGGAGACUACUUAAAUCAUGUGACCUGCACCUCACACGCCUCCUCCGAGUACCGUAUCUAAAGUUGAGAGGAAUAUCCUGGCACAAGAAAUCAGCAGGCAAACAGGACUCGAGUGGAGAGCUCCUGUCACUCCUCCGCCUCCUCAGAGUUCAAGGUCGCCGUGCGCGGCUAUUUCCAGCUCGUCUUCACUUUGAUCCGUGUCGCAAAAUGACAAGCAAACCAUGUUGACUUUCUGAGGCAACGAAGACGCAAGAAGUCCAAAGUGCAUCGCCCCGUGAGAGACCCAUCUCCAGCAGCUCAGCCUCCGUCGUUCUUCGCCACGGGAUCUUUGGUCGGCCUCGUUUCCUUUUUCCUGGUGGUCCAUGUGAGAGGAUACCUCCAUGUUUGUCAGUGAUUUCUUCUUUCCUGUUCUUCAAACAAAACCAUUUUCUGACUUAAAAACAAGCAGCUUUUAUCCACUUUAUUAAAAGUAUUUGAUGGAAUUCUUUGAUAGCUUCAUGUUCAGCUCGGCCUCAAAUAAAG